GACGAACGCUGGCGGCGUGCUUAACACAUGCAAGUCGAACGGAAAGGCUCCAGCUUGCUGGAGUACUCGAGUGGCGAACGGGUGAGUAACACGUGGGUAAUCUGCCCUGCACUCUGGGAUAAGCCUGGGAAACUGGGCCUAAUACUGGAUAUGACCUUUCUCCUUAUGGGGUUUGGUGGAAAGUUUUUCGGUGUAGGAUGAGCCCGCGGCCUAUCAGCUUGUUGGUGGGGUGAUGGCCUACCAAGGCGACGACGGGUAGCCGGCCUGAGAGGGUGAUCGGCCACAUUGGGACUGAGAUACGGCCCAGACUCCUACGGGAGGCAGCAGUGGGGAAUAUUGCACAAUGGGCGGAAGCCUGAUGCAGCGACGCCGCGUGAGGGAUGACGGCCUUCGGGUUGUAAACCUCUUUCAGCAGGGACGAAGCGUAAGUGACGGUACCUGCAGAAGAAGCACCGGCUAACUAUGUG
rnacentral:rRNA from 1 species